AGGCGUAUCUGUCUAUCUGGCACGUCACCUUAAUGUAACCUACGUUAUAUACGAGAGUGGCCAGCGGACAUAUCACCAGUUACACUUCUUUCACAGUCAUCUUUUCAGUUGUCCUUACAACUCUGAAAACACGGAGACCAUUUCCUAGAGAGGACACAGUACUGUAUCUCCUGCUACACAGAGGUUGUUAAAGGAAGAGGAAAAGUCUUCAGAACUGAACGAACACAGAUCUUCUACAGACAGAGAGACGAGAUCAGAAAGCGGACACACAGCUCCAGAGUGGUAGUAAACAAACAGUCAAAGGAAAUCUAGUCGCCACAUCUAGAAAUGGCAGAGGUAAAACAACUGAACAAUUUGCCCCCCCUCAUCCCCUACCCUGAGGGGAUGACAGAUGAAAAGGAAAAGAAAAUAUA